rnacentral:rRNA from 2 species
ACGGAAGGCAGCAGUGGGGAAUAUUGCACAAUGGGCGAAAGCCUGAUGCAGCGACGCCGCGUGAGUGAAGAAGUAUCUCGGUAUGUAAAGCUCUAUCAGCAGGGAAGAAAAUGACGGUACCUGACUAAGAAGCCCCGGCUAACUACGUGCCAGCAGCCGCGGUAAUACGUAGGGGGCAAGCGUUAUCCGGAUUUACUGGGUGUAAAGGGAGCGUAGACGGUUUGGCAAGUCUGAAGUGAAAUGCGGGGGCUCAACUCCUGAACCGCUUUGGAAACUGUCGAACUAGAGUGCAGGAGAGGUAAGUGGAAUUCCUAGUGUAGCGGUGAAAUGCGUAGAUAUUAGGAGGAACACCAGUGGCGAAGGCGGCUUACUGGACUGUAACUGACGUUGAGGCUCGAAAGCGUGGGGAGCAAACAGGAUUAGAUACCCUGGUA